rnacentral:rRNA from 1 species
CUCAGUAACACGUGGAUAACCUACCCUUGGGACCGGAAUAACCCCGGGAAACUGGGGAUAAUACCGGAUAAGCCAUAGACGCUGGAAUGCCCUAUGGUUCAAAGCUCCGGCGCCUAAGGAUGGAUCUGCGGUCUAUCAGGUUGUAGUGGGUGUAACGUACCUACUAGCCGACGACGGAUACGGGUUGUGAGAGCAAGAGCCCGGAGAUGGAUUCUGAGACACGAAUCCAGGCCCUACGGGGUGCAGCAGGCGCGAACACUUUACAAUGCGGGAAACCGCGAUAAGGGAACCCCGAGUGCCAACAUCAAAUGUUGGCUGUCCAGAUGAUUAAAAAUCAUUUGUUAGCAAGGGCCGGGCAAGACCGGUGCCAGCCGCCGCGGUAACACCGGCGGCCCGAGUGGUAGCCGUUUUUAUUGGGUCUAAAGGGUCCGUAGCCGGCCUGAUAAGUCCUUUGGGAAAUCUGGCAGCUUAACUGUCAGGCUUCUAAGGGAUACUGUCAGGCUUGGGACCGGAAGAGGUAAGGGGUACUCCAGGGGUAGGAGUGAAAUCUUGUAAUCCCUGGGGGACCAUCUGUGGCGAAGGCGCCUUACCAGAACGGGUCCGACGGUGAGGGACGAAAGCUAGGGGAGCAAACCGGAUUAGAUACCCGGGUAGUCCUAGCUGUAAACGAUGCUCGCUAGGUGUCAGACACGGUGCGACCGUGUUUGGUGCCGCAGGGAAGCCGUUAAGCGGGCCACCUGGGAAGUGCGGUCGCAAGGCUGAAACUAAAG